CGACCUGAGAGGGUGAUCGGCCACACUGGAACUGAGACACGGUCCAGACUCCUACGGGAGGCAGCAGUAGGGAAUCUUCCGCAAUGGGCGAAAGCCUGACGGAGCAACGCCGCGUGAGUGAUGAAGGUCUUCGGAUCGUAAAACUCUGUUAUUAGGGAAGAACAUAUGUGUAAGUAACUGUGCACAUCUUGACGGUACCUAAUCAGAAAGCCACGGCUAACUACGUGCCAGCAGCCGCGGUAAUACGUAGGUGGCAAGCGUUAUCCGGAAUUAUUGGGCGUAAAGCGCGCGUAGGCGGUUUUUUAAGUCUGAUGUGAAAGCCCACGGCUCAACCGUGGAGGGUCAUUGGAAACUGGAAAACUUGAGUGCAGAAGAGGAAAGUGGAAUUCCAUGUGUAGCGGUGAAAUGCGCAGAGAUAUGGAGGAACACCAGUGGCGAAGGCGACUUUCUGGUCUGUAACUGACGCUGAUGUGCGAAAGCGUGGGGAUCAAACAGGAUUAGAUACCCUGGUAGUCCACGCCGUAAACGAUGAGUGCUAAGUGUUAGGGGGUUUCCGCCCCUUAGUGCUGCAGCUAACGCAUUAAGCACUCCGCCUGGGGAGUACGACCGCAAGGUUGAAACUCAAAGGAAUUGACGGGGACCCGCACAAGCGGUGGAGCAUGUGGUUUAAU
rnacentral:rRNA from 1 species